rnacentral:rRNA from 1 species
GAUGAACGCUGGCGGCGUGCCUAAUACAUGCAAGUCGAGCGAACAGACGAGGAGCUUGCUCCUCUGACGUUAGCGGCGGACGGGUGAGUAACACGUGGAUAACCUACCUAUAAGACUGGGAUAACUUCGGGAAACCGGAGCUAAUACCGGAUAAUAUAUUGAACCGCAUGGUUCAAUAGUGAAAGACGGUUUUGCUGUCACUUAUAGAUGGAUCCGCGCCGCAUUAGCUAGUUGGUAAGGUAACGGCUUACCAAGGCAACGAUGCGUAGCCGACCUGAGAGGGUGAUCGGCCACACUGGAACUGAGACACGGUCCAGACUCCUACGGGAGGCAGCAGGAGGGAAUCUUCCGCAUUGGGCGAAAGCUUGACGGAGCAACGCCGUGUGAGUGAUGAAGGUCUUCGGAUCGUAAAACUCUGUUAUUAGGGAAGAACAAAUGUGUAAGUAACUAUGCACGUCUUGACGGUACCUAAUCAGAAAGCCACGGCUAACUACGUG